UAGCAGAAAAUCAAGUCAAUAUGGACGUGAAUCGUACAUGCAGAUAAAAGACUCCAGACCGCUUAGUGAUAAAUCUUAUCAGCAUCAAGAAAUACAAGACAUAUUGCAGUUUCUUUCGGUCAACGAUUACCAGCAUCCAAUCUCCAUGAAGAAAAUGACGAUUCCAACGAGCAAAGAGUUCCUGAAAGUAUUUUCCUUCCUUUAUAGCCAUAUCAGUCCAACGGACACAUAUA